rnacentral:lncRNA from 10 species
GACAGGGAGAGGUCUGGCAUCUGCUGCUGUAUGGCCGGCGUCUCUCACAUGGCCUCAGACCCCAGGAGCUCUGGAAGUGGCCUCUUUCUGCCUCCAAGAUGGAUGGAAGACGUGGCUCGGCCCGGCCUCACCUUCUGACCUGUCCCCUCUGCCAGCCCACCCAACCCAAAUGCUCUGAAGGAACUGUACUCGGAGAGGUGUGUGGUGUUUUCCUGCUGCCCACCUUUCCAGGUGGAGAAAGAAAUGGGUCCUGGCUCCAGGAAGGGGGGAAACCAUGUCCCUGUACCGUGCCUCAGUUUCCCCAUCUGUACACUGUGGAAUGGCAGUGCGUGGGCAG